GACGAACGCUGGCGGCGUGCCUAAUACAUGCAAGUUGAGCGAUGAAGAUUGGUGCUUGCCCCAAUUUGAAGAGCAGCGAACGGGUGAGUAACGCGUGGGGAAUCUGCCUUUGAGCGGGGGGCAACAUUUGGAAACGAAUGCUAAUACCGCAUAACAACUUUAAACAUAAGUUUUAAGUUUGAAAGAUGCAAUUGCAUCACUCAAAGAUGAUCCCGCGUUGUAUUAGCUAGUUGGUGAGGUAAAGGCUCACCAAGGCGAUGAUACAUAGCCGACCUGAGAGGGUGAUCGGCCACAUUGGGACUGAGACACGGCCCAAACUCCUACGGGAGGCAGCAGUAGGGAAUCUUCGGCAAUGGACGAAAGUCUGACCGAGCAACGCCGCGUGAGUGAAGAAGGUUUUCGGAUCGUAAAACUCUGUUGGUAGAGAAGAACGUUGGUGAGAGUGGAAAGCUCAUCAAGUGACGGUAACUACCCAGAAAGGGACGGCUAACUACGUG
rnacentral:rRNA from 1 species